CACGUAGGGCGCAAGCGUUGUCCGGAAUUAUUGGGCGUAAAGAGCUCGUAGGCGGUCUGUUGCGUCCGCUGUGAAAACUCGGGGCUUAACCCCGAGCCUGCAGUGGAUACGGGCAGACUAGAGGUAGGUAGGGGAGUAUGGAAUUCCCGGUGUAGCGGUGAAAUGCGCAGAUAUCGGGAGGAACACCGGUGGCGAAGGCGGUUCUCUGGGCCUUACCUGACGCUGAGGAGCGAAAGCGUGGGGAGCGAACAGG
rnacentral:rRNA from 1 species